GGUUUCUUGAAUAUAUUUAAGAAAUUUAACCUGCCCACUGAAAUUAUUUAAAGGGCCGCAGUAUUUUGACUGUGCAAAGGUAGCAUAAUCAUUAGUCUUUUAAUUGAAGGCUGGUAUGAAUGGUUGGACGAGGUAAAUACUGUUUUAUGUUAAUUGAGUUUGAAUUUAGAUUUUAAGUAAAAAGACUUAAAUUAUAGUAAGGGACGAGAAGACCCUAUAGAGUUUUAUAAAUGUAAUUUUAAUUAAGUUAAUAAAUAAUUUUUAAUCAUUAUGAAAUUUAUUUGAUUGGGGUGAUAGAAAAAUAAGAGAAACUUUUUUUUAUUUUAAAUAUUAUAGGUAGCUGAAUGAUCCACAUUUAGUGAUUAAAAGAUUAAAUUACCUUAGGGAUAACAGCAUAAUUUUUUUUGAGAGUUCUUAUUGAAAAGAAAGAUUGUGACCUCGAUGUUGGAUUAAGAUUAGUUUUGGGUGUAGGUGUUCAAUAACUAGGUCUGUUCGACCUUUAAAAUCUUACA
rnacentral:rRNA from 1 species